rnacentral:rRNA from 1 species
GUUCACUCCCGCACCUUGGUGAUUCAUAAUAACUAAGCGGAUCGCAUGGUUUACCCCAGCGAUAGGCCUUUCAAGUUUCUGACCUAUCAGCUAUUGACGGUAGGGUAUUGGCCUACCGUGGCUAUGACGGGUAACGGAGAAUUAGGGUUCGAUUCCGGAGAGGGAGCCUGAGAAACGGCUACCACAUCUAAGGAUGGCAGCAGGCGCGCAAAUUACCCAAUCUUGACACAGGGAGGUAGUGACAAGAAAUAACAAUGCAGGGCUUCACAGUCUUGCAAUUGGAAUGAGUAGAUUUUAAAUCUCUCUACGAGUAACAAUUGGAGGGCAAGUCUGGUGCCAGCAGCCGCGGUAAUUCCAGCUCCAAUAGCGUAUAUUAAAGUUGUUGCGGUUAAAAAGCUCGUAGUUGAAUUUCUGCCUAGGAUGACCUACCCACCUAAGGGUGCGUGUUAGUGUCAACUUUGGCAUCCUCCUAGCAGCAAACAUUCUUAAUCGGAUGGGUCGCUCUAGGACUUUUACUUUGAGGAAAUUAGAGUGUUUCAAGCAGGCUUUCGCCUUGAAUAUAUUAGCAUGGAAUAAUAAUCUAGGACUUCGGUUCUAUUUUAUUGGUUCUGGACCGAAGUAAUGAUUAACAGGGACAGUCGGGGGCAUUCGUACUCAACAGUCAGAGGUGAAAUUCUUGGAUUUGUUGGAGACGAACUACUGCGAAAGCAUUUGCCAAGGAUGUUUUCAUUGAUCAAGAACGAAAGUUAGGGGAUCGAAGACGAUCAGAUACCGUCCUAGUCUUAACCAUAAACGAUGCCGACUAGCGAUUGGAGGUUGUUUAUUGACACCUUCAGCAGCUCGUGAGAAAUCAAAGUCUUUGGGUUCCGGGGGGAGUAUGGUCGCAAGGCUGAAACUUAAAGGAAUUGACGGAAGGGCACCACCAGGAGUGGAGCCUGCGGCUUAAUUUGACUCAACACGGGAAAACUCACCAGGUCCGGACAUGGGAAGGAUUGACAGAUUGAGAGC